rnacentral:rRNA from 1 species
GUGCCAGCAGCCGCGGUAAUACGGAGGGUGCGAGCGUUGUCCGGAAUCAUUGGGUGUAAAGGGUGCGUAGGCGGGCUGCUAAGUCUGGGGUGAAAUCCUGCCGCUUAACGGGAGAAUGGCCCCCGAUACUGGCAGUCUUGAGUACAGAAGAGGUCGGUGGAAUUCGUAGUGUAGCGGUGAAAUGCAUAGAUAUUACGAAGAACACCAGUGGCGAAGGCGGCCGGCUGGUCUGUAACUGACGCUGAGGCACGAAAGCGUGGGGAGCGAACAGGAUUAGAUACCCUGGUAGUCCACGCUGUAAACGAUGUAUGCUAGGUGUCGGCCCUUCGGGGUCGGUGCUGCAGUUAAUGCAGUAAGCAUGCCACCUGGGGAGUACGUCGGCAACGAUGAAACUCAAAGGAAUUGGCGGGG